rnacentral:rRNA from 1 species
GCACAGGCAGCGGAGCGUGUGGUUUAAUUCGAUGAUACACGAAGAACCUUACCAGGGUUUGACAUGCUAGUGGUAGGGAUCCGAAAGGUGACGACCCUCGGGGAGCUAGCACAGGUGCUGCAUGGCUGUCGUCAGCUCGUGUCGUGAGAUGUUCGGUUAAGUCCGCUAACGAGCGCAACCCUUGCUGUGUGUUACAUGUGUCACACGGGACUGCCGGUCUUAAACCGGAGGAAGGUGGGAUGACGUCAAGUCAGCAUGGCCUUUAUGUCCUGGGCUACACACACGCUACAAUGGCCGGUACAAUAGGUUGCGAAGCCGCGAGGCGGAGCCAAUCCUCAAAGCCGGCCUCAGUUCAGAUUGCAGGCUGCAACCCGCCUGCAUGAAGAUGGAGUUGCUAGUAACCGCAGGUCAGCUAUACUGCGGUGAAUACGUUCCCGGGGCUU